rnacentral:rRNA from 1 species
AGAGUUUGAUCCUGGCUCAGGAUGAACGCUGGCGGCGUGCCUAAUACAUGCAAGUCGAGCGAAUGGAUUAAGAGCUUGCUCUUAUGAAGUUAGCGGCGGACGGGUGAGUAACACGUGGGUAACCUGCCCAUAAGACUGGGAUAACUCCGGGAAACCGGGGCUAAUACCGGAUAACAUUUUGAACUGCAUGGUUCGAAAUUGAAAGGCGGCUUCGGCUGUCACUUAUGGAUGGACCCGCGUCGCAUUAGCUAGUUGGUGAGGUAACGGCUCACCAAGGCAACGAUGCGUAGCCGACCUGAGAGGGUGAUCGGCCACACUGGGACUGAGACACGGCCCAGACUCCUACGGGAGGCAGCAGUAGGGAAUCUUCCGCAAUGGACGAAAGUCUGACGGAGCAACGCCGCGUGAGUGAUGAAGGCUUUCGGGUCGUAAAACUCUGUUGUUAGGGAAGAACAAGUGCUAGUUGAAUAAGCUGGCACCUGACGUAC